UGGGGAAUAUUGGACAAUGGGCGAAAGCCUGAUCCAGCCAUGCCGCGUGUGUGAAGAAGGUCUUCGGAUUGUAAAGCACUUUAAGUUGGGAGGAAGGGCAGUUACCUAAUACGUAUCUGUUUUGACGUUACCGACAGAAUAAGCACCGGCUAACUCUGUGCCAGCAGCCGCGGUAAUACAGAGGGUGCAAGCGUUAAUCGGAAUUACUGGGCGUAAAGCGCGCGUAGGUGGUUUGUUAAGUUGGAUGUGAAAUCCCCGGGCUCAACCUGGGAACUGCAUUCAAAACUGACAAGCUAGAGUAUGGUAGAGGGUGGUGGAAUUUCCGGUGUAGCGGUGAAAUGCGUAGAGAUCGGGAGGAACACCAGAGGCGAAGGCGGCGACCUGGACAGUUACUGACACUCAACUACGAAAGCGUGGGGAGCAAACAGGAUUAGAUACCCCAGUAGUCCCUGAGCGGGCUGGCAAGGCGCAU
rnacentral:rRNA from 1 species